GACAGAGGUGCCGAGCGUUAGGCGGAAUCACUGGGCUUAAAGCGUGUGUAGGUGGAUGUCUAAGUACCUUGUGAAAUCCCACGGCUUAACCGUGGAACGGCUCGGUAUACUGGAUGUCUUGAGCCAGCUAGGGGCUACCGGAACAAAUGGUGGAGUGGUGAAAUGCGUAGAUAUCAUUUGCAACGCCAAUGGUGAAAACAGGUAGCUGGGGCUGUGCUGACACUGAGACACGAAAGCCAGGGGAGCGAACGGG
rnacentral:rRNA from 1 species